rfam:Glycine soja cultivar W05 scaffold135_7, whole genome shotgun sequence.
CUUUUAUUGGACGUUGAUCGCCACGUGUCACGAUUUUAUUGAAGGUUGACAUUAAUUAAGUGCACGAAAUUAACGUCCAAUAAAAGUGUAACACAUGACUGUUAACAUUA